rnacentral:rRNA from 1 species
GAUGAACGCUGGCGGCGUGCCUAAUACAUGCAAGUCGAGCGAACAGACGAGGAGCUUGCUCCUCUGACGUUAGCGGCGGACGGGUGAGUAACACGUGGAUAACCUACCUAUAAGACUGGGAUAACUUCGGGAAACCGGAGCUAAUACCGGAUAAUAUAUUGAACCGCAUUGUUCAAUAGUGAAAGACGGUUUUGCUGUCACUUAUAGAUGGAUCCGCGCCGCAUUAGCUAGUUGGUAAGGUAACGGCUUACCAAGGCAACGAUGGGUAGCCGACCUGAGAGGGUGGUCGGCCACAGUGGAACUGAGACACGGUCCAGACUCCUACGGGAGGCAGCAGUAGGGAAUCUUCCGCAAUGGGCGAAAGCUUGACGGAGCAACGCCGCGUGAGUGAUGAAGGUCUUCGGAUCGUAAAACUCUGUUAUUAGGGAAGAACAAAUGUGUAAGUAACUAUGCACGUCUUGACGGUACCUAAUCAGAAAGCCACGGCUAACUACGUG